rnacentral:lncRNA from 1 species
CUCUGAUGGAUCUCCUAGCGCGUGAGGCCACAGAAGGUGGAGAAAAGUUGUUGGUUCCCGGCGCCGACAGCCACCAGGGUCAAAGCCGCCGGGACUAGGACCACUCAGCAGGGAUCCGGCUUGACCUUCGGAGAACCAGCCGGACCCGCCCAGUUCGGCUGGCCGGGUCGAUUCGGGGUCAGGGGAAGCCUCUGGCCGGCGGCCUGAACCCGAGGGCUGCAGGAUGCGCUCCAAACACAGGGCCCCGGGGCUGUGCGGGUGCACCGCAGGACAGAGAGCAGAGAUUGCCUUCCUGGAAGAAGCCACAGUGUUUUCUGAGGAGCUCAAGUUCACAAUCCAGAGGGACUCUUAUUGUGAAGAAAAGUGAAUGAUGGAAACCGUGUAGUGAAGAGCAGUGUUGCCAGAGCGGAAGAGAUGAGAGACAGCAAGCAAGACUCGGGAGCGUUCUGACAGGUAACAUGGGACGGAAGGAGGCGCAGGCCACCCAGGGGACUUGUCCUGUGGAGAACCCGAGACACCAGCUGGCACAUACAGGGCUUUGUGUCCUGAAUGAUUGAUGUCUGUGUCAUUGGGAAGCAACUCUCAGGGGAAAGAAACACCUUCUUAUGUGGCCAGAACCAUCACACAGAGCCUGCCUUGACCUUGACAGUGGGUAUAGAGACUGAGUGAAAAGCUCAGCGGUCCACCCCAGGAAGAAGAGUUUGUGCUUCUUUAUGGUCCAGAAGAACAGCAGAACCCUA